rnacentral:rRNA from 1 species
UACGUAGGGUGCAAGCGUUAAUCGGAAUUACUGGGCGUAAAGCGUGCGCAGGCGGUUAUGUAAGACAGGGGUGAAAUCCCCGGGCUUAACCUGGGAACUGCAUUUGUGACUGCAUAGCUAGAGUACGGCAGAGGGGGAUGGAAUUCCGCGUGUAGCAGUGAAAUGCGUAGAGAUGCGGAGGAACACCGAUGGCGAAGGCAGCCCCCUGGGCUAGCACUGACGCUCAGGCACGAAAGCGUGGGGAGCAAACAGG